rnacentral:rRNA from 1 species
GACGAACGCUGGCGGCGUGCUUAACACAUGCAAGUCGAACGGAAAGGCCCUGCUUUUGUGCGGUGCUCGAGUGGCGAACGGGUGAGUAACACGUGAGUAACCUGCCCUUGACUUUGGGAUAACUUCAGGAAACUGGGGCUAAUACCGGAUAGGAGCUCCUGCUGCAUGGUGGGCGUGGGAAAGUUUCGGCGGUUGGGGUUGGACUCGCGGCUUAUCAGUUUGUUGGUGGGGUAGUGGCUUACCAAGGCUUUGACGGGUAGCCGGCCUGGGAGGGUGACCGGCCACAUUGGGACUGAGAUACGGCCCAGACUCGUACGGGAGGCAACGGUGGAGAGUAUUGCACAGUGAGCGGGAGCCUGAUGCGGCAACGCCGCGUGCGGAAUGACGGCCUUCGGGUUGUAAACAGCAUUCGCCUGUGACGAAGCGUGAGUGACGGUAAUGGGAGAAGAAGCACCGGCUAACUACGUG